rnacentral:rRNA from 2 species
UGGGGAAUCUUGGACAAUGGGCGCAAGCCUGAUCCAGCCAUGCCGCGUGAGUGAAGAAGGCCUUAGGGUUGUAAAGCUCUUUUGCCAGGGACGAUAAUGACGGUACCUGGAGAAUAAGCCCCGGCAAACUUCGUGCCAGCAGCCGCGGUAAUACGAAGGGGGCUAGCGUUGUUCGGAUUUACUGGGCGUAAAGCGCACGUAGGCGGGUCGUUAAGUCAGGGGUGAAAUCCCGGAGCUCAACUCCGGAACUGCCUUUGAUACUGGCGACCUUGAGGCUGGAAGAGGUUAGUGGAAUUCCCAGUGUAGAGGUGAAAUUCGUAGAUAUUGGGAAGAACACCAGUGGCGAAGGCGGCUAACUGGUCCAGAUCUGACGCUGAGGUGCGAAAGCGUGGGGAGCAAACA